rnacentral:rRNA from 1 species
CCAUAUAGACCUGACACAGAAAAUCAAGAAUUCCGAUCUCGUCUGAUCUUGAAAGCUAAGCAGGGUUGGGCCUGAUUAGUACUUAGAUGGGAGAUCACCUAUGAAUACCAGGUGCUGUAGGUA